CCUACGGGUGGCAGCAGUGAGGAAUAUUGGUCAAUGGACGAGAGUCUGAACCAGCCAAGUAGCGUGAAGGAUGACUGCCCUAUGGGUUGUAAACUUCUUUUAUAUGGGAAUAAACUGUUCCACGUGUGGGAUUUUGUAUGUACCAUAUGAUUAAUGAUCGGCUAACUCCGUGCCAGCAGCCGCGGUAAUACUGAGGAUCCGAGCGUUAUCCGGAUUUAUUGGGUUUAAAGGGAGCGUAGGUGGAUUGUUAAGUCAGUUGUGAAAGUUUGCGGCUCAAACGUAAAAUUGCAGUUGAAACUGGCAGUCUUGAGUACAGUAGAGGUGGGCGGAAUUCGUGGUGUAGCGGUGAAAUGCUUAGAUAUCACGAAGAACUACGAUUGCGAAGGCAGUUCACUGGACUGCAUCUGACACUGAGGCUCGAAAGUGUGGGUAUCAAACAGGAUUAGAUACCCUUGUAGUC
rnacentral:rRNA from 1 species